rnacentral:rRNA from 1 species
GAUGAACGCUGGCGGCGUGCCUAAUACAUGCAAGUCGAGCGAACAGACGAGGAGCUUGCUCCUCUGACGUUAGCGGCGGACGGGUGAGUAACACGUGGAUAACCUACCUAUAAGACUGGGAUAACUUCGGGAAACCGGAGCUAAUACCGGAUAAUAUAUUGAACCGCAUGGUUCAAUAGUGAAAGACGGUUUUGCUGUCACUUAUAGAUGGAUCCGCGCCGCAUUAGCUAGUUGGUAAGGUAACGGCUUACCAAGGCAACGAUGCGUAGCCGACCUGAGAGGGGGAUCGGCCACACUGGAACUGAGACACGGUCCAGACUCCUACGGGAGGCAGCAGUAGGGAAUCUUCCGCAAUGGGCGAGAGCCUGACGGAGCAACGCCGCGUGAGUGAUGAAGGUCUUCGGAUCGUAAAACUCUGUUAUUAGGGGAGAACAAAUGUGUAAGUAACUAUGCACGUCUUGACGGUACCUAAUCAGAAAGCCACGGCUAACUACGUG